rnacentral:rRNA from 1 species
GAUGAACGCUGGCGGCGUGCUUAACACAUGCAAGUCGAGCGAGUGAGUUCUUCGGAACGAUCUAGCGGCGAACGGGUGAGUAACACGUGGGCAACCUGCCUCAUAGAGGGGAAUAACCUGCCGAAAGUGAGAUUAAUACGUCAUAAAAUUAUCGAGUGGCAUCACAAGAUAAUCAAAGGAGUAAUCCGCUAUGAGAUGGGCGCGCGGCGCAUUAGAUAGUUGGUGAGGUAACGGCUCAACAAUGCGGAGAGGCGGAGACGACCUGAGAGGGUGAACGGCCACAUUGAGACUGAGACACGGACCCGACUACUACGGGCGGCAGCAGUGGAGAAUAUUGCACAAUGGGGGAAACCCUGAUGCAGUACCGCCGCGUGAGUGAUGAAGGUCUUCGGAUUGUAAAGCUCUGUCUUUGGGGAAGAUAAUGACGGUACCCAAGGAGGAAGCCACGGCUAACUACGUGCCAGCCGCCGCCGUAA